CUUUCAGAUGAGCAAUUUUCUGGGCAAACUUAUAACAGCUGGAAAGAGUGGAAAUAAUGACUGGCUCUUAUGUGGUCUGACAAAGGAUUUGUAUGCAGUUUCAGGCCCGAAUAUACACAUAAAAUGCUGUCACCUCCCUCCUCUGCCCCCAGUAUCCCUGCUCCUCUGCUGAAUUCUCUCACUUCACUGAGGACAGUCAGGCUCCACACAACCCCUGCUCCAGACUUGACUUUCACUAGCUACAUUCUGGAAGAUUGCUCCGGUGGGUUUUUGGCUGGCCUUCUUUGCCUAUAGCGCCUUAUUUUCCAGUGCUAAUGGAACAGCAAGCCUGUACUUCUCUACUAAUCAGAUGAAGACUCUCAGAAUAAAAAUAAUUACAUUAAUCUAGGUUAAUAAAAGCUUAGCUGAAUUUAUACAAACUCUGUUGUAUGCUGUGAUCGUGUUGUGGUGCUGGAUAUAAUGAUCACAAUGCCUGCAUUCUCAUACCUAUGGAAACCUUUGGCACUCUUUCACCUCACUGAAAUCUGGAGUUAUUAACAGAGAGGAAAGGAGAAGGAUAGAGAGUUCGAUGAGAGAGAAACAUCGAUC